rnacentral:miRNA from 1 species
UCCAACUGGAUACAUUAAUGCACACUCUUGCUUCACCCUCUCAAGUGAAAAGUCUUCUAAGACCAUGACUCUGUUUUAUAUAUAUGUAAGGUAAGUCUUACAUAUAUAUAUCUUACAUAUAUAUAGAUAGAUAAAUCUUAGGGUGAAGCAAGAGUGUGCAUUAAUGUAUCCAUUUGGA